rnacentral:rRNA from 1 species
AUUGAACGCUGGCGGCAGGCCUAACACAUGCAAGUCGAACGAUUGGCGGACGGGUGAGUAAUGUCUGGGAAACUGCCUGAUGGAGGGGGAUAACUACUGGAAACGGUCGCUAAUACCGCCUACCAUCGGAUGUGCCCAGAUGGGAUUAGCUAGUAGGUGGGGUAAAGGCUCAUCUAGGCGACGCUCCCUAGCUGGUCUGAGAGGAUGACCAGCCACACUGGAACGGGGACACGGUCCAUACUCCUACGGAAUGCAGCAGUGGUGAAUAUUGCACUAUGGUCUCAAGCCUGAUGCAGCCAUGCCGCGUGUAUGAAGAAGGCCUUCGGAUUGGAAAGUACUUUCAGCGGGGAGGCGUUACCCGCAGAAGAAGCACCUGCUAACUCCGUGCCAGCAGCCGCGGUAAUUC